rnacentral:rRNA from 1 species
CCCGCACAAGCAGCGGAGCGUGUGGUUUAAUUCGAUGUUACACGAAGAACCUUACAGGGUUUGACAUGCAAGUGGUAGGAAGCCGAAAGGUGACCGACCCUUCGGGGAGCUUGCACAGGUGCUGCAUGGCUGUCGUCAGCUCGUGUCGUGAGAUGUUCGGUUAAGUCCGCUAACGAGCGCAACCCUCGCUGUGUGUUAUAUGUGUCACACGGGACUGCCGGUCUUAAGCCGGAGGAAGGUGGGGAUGAUGUCAAGUCAGCAUGGCCUUUAUAUCCUGGGCUACACACACGCUACAAUGGCCAACACAAUAGGUUGCUAAGCCGCGAGGUGGAGCAAAUCCUAAAAAGCCGGUCUCAGUUCGGAUUGCAGGCUGCAAUUCGCCUGCAUGAAGUCGGAAUCGCUAGUAAUCGCAGGUCAGCAUACUGCGGUGAAUACGUUCCCGGGCCUU